GCCCGGGUGGUGAAAUUGGUAGACACAGCGGACUUAAAAUCCGCGGCUUCUCGCAGGAGGGCGUGCCGGUUCGAUCCCGGCCCCGGGCACCA
rnacentral:tRNA from 1 species